rnacentral:tRNA from 1 species
CCAGGGGUGGCAGAGCGGCCAAUUGCACUGGUCUGUAAAACCAGCGGGUUUCCCUUCGUAGGUUCGAAUCCUACCCCCUGGA